CUCUCUCUAAGUGUUAACCCUAACCCGUUUCUCUGUCUCUCUCUCUCUCUAACCCUAAGGGUUAACCCUAACCCUAACAACAAAUGGGUUAGGUUAAGUGUUAACCCUAACCCGUUUCUCUGUCUCUCCCUCUCUAAACCUAAGGGUUAACCCUAACCCUAAAAACAAAUGGGUUAGGUUAAGGGUUAACCCUAACCCGUUUCUCUCUCUCUCUCUCUCUCUCUCUCUAACACUAAGGGUUAACCCUAACCCUAACCCGUUUGUUUUCCCUAACCCUAGCCCUAGACAAUGUGCCUAAUUAGUAGCUUUUGACCACGUCGUCAUUUCUACACGUCCAAAAUACUAAUUAAACGUGAUGUUUUGGAAUCAGCGGUGGAGUGACUUGGAGGGUGGGACCGGUCAGGACUGGUGAUAGGAUCAACAGCACCAGCCCAAGGCGCUGGCCACAGCAGAACCAGUAUGUAUCGGCACUCUUCCCAACAUGAUCCCCAAAACUGUAAGUGCGGCUCUGUGUGUGGAGAGAGAAGUGACAGAAGAGUCAUGGCUGGAGCCACGGGGGGGAAGGAUACACAGGGGACAGAAGCAGGGGGGAGGCUGUGGGUGUGAGGACUCGCACACCGCCACCUGGUGGGCGAAGGACAGCACUACAACACAACACAGAUUUCCCCAAACGAGAAGCAACAAAAGGGAAAAGGAAAACCCAAAGUAGGAUGGGAAUGAUGGGGGUGAUGGUGCCAUUCCGCAGAGGGAGGGAGCAGCAGGUCAAGGCAGUGCACAGCACAUCAAAACGACAGAGAGACAGUUCACAACAUGACAGGGAGCUGGCCCAUGGAUCAGCCAAUCCCAGCUCAUGAAAACAGCCAGUAAGGAGGCUUCUAGAACGAGGGAGGGUCAUGGAACGCACGCUGAGGAGGGGGGGGAGGGAGAGAGACCACUCCGACAUUUGACAAUCUCGGCGGAGUCGCAAAGGGAAAAUCAACAGUAAUCAAAAUCAUCUUUUUGAUGAUAGACAGAUUGAUUUCGUGAUUGGACGUUUAGUUUGUUUGGCAGUUUAGUUUAGAUUUGAUUGAGUUAAGAAGUGGCAGAUAGGAUGGGGUUCUAGGUUGAGGUUCGAGCUGGGGGAUCCAGUUGGGGGUGCGUGCGGUUCCGUUACCCUCCCCGGGUUCUAGAGAGUCCAGGGCAAUUGGUACCUGUGGCGGGGGCCUCUGCUGGGGUAUCCUGCGCGGGCCUGACUACUUUUGCCCCGGGGCUGUACCAAGGCAAUGAGCAAGGGGGGAGGAGAGGGAGGGAGGGAGGGAGGGAGAGGAGGGAGUGAAAAAAAAGAAAAACAAUGUUUCAGUCCAGGGCAAAUAAAGACCAAGCUUCUGAUGAG
ensembl:lncRNA